rnacentral:lncRNA from 10 species
AGAGAAAGAGACAGAAAGAGAGAGAGAGAGUGAGAGAGAGAGAGAGAAAGAGAGAUGGAGAGGGAGAGACAGAGACAGACCAUAUUCACAUAAGUUUUAUUACAGCAUAUUGUUCUAAUUGUUAGCUAUUGUUGUUAAUCUCUUGUGUCUAACUUAUAAAUUACAGUUUAUCCUAGGCUAGGGCUUGCUGAGCUUUGAAGAAGACUUCCAGUGCAAGUGGAUUACAUAUUGACCUCACCUGGCCUAGAUCAUUG